AGCUUUGCACAGUGGCAGUAUGGUAGCCAAUAAGGUUUAUCUGAGGUGCGAUUAUUGCUGAUUGAAAAUGUUUCCACAGUUCAUGAGGCUGUGAAGCAGUGAUUCUUACUUCCCACUCAAAUGUGAUAGUCAUAGUCAUAUA